AGUCACUAAUGGCAUUUUUGUUGGUUGUUACCAGAACAGCGAAAAGCUCAUUGGUGAUUAUUCUU
ensembl:miRNA